GUCGAUCAAACGUCUGACGAACCUCCAGUACCUGAUACGGCUGGAGGCA
ncrna:unclassified sequences L17-Actino-Proteobacteria ribosomal protein leader